AUUGAACGCUGGCGGCAGGCCUAACACAUGCAAGUCGAGCGGAUGAAGGGAGCUUGCUCCUGGAUUCAGCGGCGGACGGGUGAGUAAUGCCUAGGAAUCUGCCUGGUAGUGGGGGAUAACGUCCGGAAACGGGCGCUAAUACCGCAUACGUCCUGAGGGAGAAAGUGGGGGAUCUUCGGACCUCACGCUAUCAGAUGAGCCUAGGUCGGAUUAGCUAGUUGGUGGGGUAAAGGCCUACCAAGGCGACGAUCCGUAACUUGUCUGAGAGGAUGAUCAGUCACACUGGAACUGAGACACGGUCCAGACUCCUACGGGAGGAAGCAGUGGGGAAUAUUGGACGAUGGGCGAAAGCCUGAUCCAGCCAUGCCGCGUGUGUGAAGAAGGUCUUCGGAUUGUAAAGCACUUUAAGUUGGGAGGAAGGGCAGUAAGUUAAUACCUUGCUGUUUUGACGUUACCAACAGAAUAAGCACCGGCUAACUUCGUG
rnacentral:rRNA from 1 species